CAAAAUCACAGGCAUCAGUAAAAAUAAGGUUGCCACGCCUCGGGAGACUGCAAUCUUCGACCUUCCAGAAGCUGACGGAUACUUCAAAACAAAUUCUUUUGUUUGAUAGUUUUUUCCGUUGGUCUGUAUUUUGGGAGGUUUUUCUUCUCAGUCCAAAUAAAGUAAGAUCAGAAAGGGAAUAACUGUUAUUGUAGCGUUACUUUGCAUCAAAAUAGAAGUGAAAGUGUUUUUGGAAUUACUGGGC